rnacentral:rRNA from 1 species
UACGAAGGUCCCAAGCGUUGUUCGGAAUCACUGGGCGUAAAGGGAGCGUAGGCGGCGUGGUAAGUCAGAUGUGAAAUCCCGGGGCUCAACCCCGGAACUGCAUCCGAUACUGCCAUGCUAGAGGAUUGGAGAGGUAGCUGGAAUUCUUGGUGUAGCAGUGAAAUGUGUAGAGAUCAAGAGGAACACUCGUGGCGAAAGCGAGCUACUGGACAAUUCCUGACGCUGAGGCUCGAAGGCUAGGGUAGCGAAAGGG